AUGGCGUCCAACACCGCACCUGCGCCCGCCGCUGACGAUGAGCUGCUGCACGAGUUCGGCCCGCUGCUCCGAGUCUACAAGAGCGGCCGCCUCGAGCGCCCCCUCGUGCUCCCGCCCGUCGCGCCGGGGCUCGACCCCUCCACCGGUGUCCAGUCCAAGGACGUCGACCUCGGCGCCUACUCCGCCCGCCUCUACCUGCCCCCCACCGCCGCGACCACCACCGCGAAGCUCCCCGUCAUCGUCUACGUCCACGGCGGCGGCUUCGUGGCCGAGUCCGCAAAGUCCCCCAACUACCACCGCUUCCUCAACGACCUCGCCUCCGCCUGCCCGGCCCUCGGCGUCUCCCUCGACUACCGCCUCGCGCCGGAGCACCCGCUCCCGGCGGCGUACGACGACUGCCUCGACGCGCUCCGCUGGGUGCUCUCCGCGGCGGACCCCUGGGGGGUGGAGCUGCUGGAGACGGACGGGGAGGGCCAUGUCUUCUACCUCUUCAAGCCCGACUGCGACAAGGCCAAGGAGAUGCUCGACAGGAUCGUCGCCUUCGUUAACGCAGCACCUUGA
rnacentral:rRNA from 1 species